UGGCUUUCGCUAUGUGUGUAUUGUUAGUUUCUGAGAAUAAAUUUUAGGCAUAUUUUUUUGUCUAAUAUUCUUUGAUAUGUAACUAAUGUAAUCCUCUUUGUUAAGAUUUUUGCAGAUAUAUUUUUUCCUUUGUCUCAAAGUUGGCUAUGGAUUUUUAGAUUUGAAGCUCUUUCCAUUUAGCUCUAAAAUUCUGGGUGAAAAGGGUCAAUAUUUUUACUUGUUUUGUUUUGACGGUGAUCAUGUAAUCAUCCAGGGUGUGUUAUUGAAUUUCAUAUUGCUUAAUUUAUACAAAAACUGUGUUGGUCACUUGUAGCUUGCUUUGAAAUACUUAAUGUUUCUGCCUAUUUGCAGUUUGAGAUACAUGAUUGUAUUGUGGUGCUGAUUAAUAUAAUAUUAUGAUUCUUGUCACUUCUCUCUUUGCUGGUGUGGUGCUUCAUUGUGUAAAAUUUUUUGCUGGUAAAUUGUACAAUUUUGCAAUUUCAGGAUUGUAGGCCUCCGUCUUUCCCAGUGGGUGUUACAUAGCAAACAGUCUAGGUCAUGCUCAUCCUAAAUUAAAUCAGUUGGUUAGCUUCUUUUGCUUAAAUAUAAAGGAAGCUUAAUUAAGUCUCUGAGAUUAAUGAUAUGGUAAUUGGUAAGGUACAUGUGCAUGCUUACUAAUCUUAGUCUGUUUUUUUUAAUGUAUUGAUGAUAUGUUAGCUCAAAAUUACUAGCUUUCAGAGAUCAUUUGUUCUGUUCUAGAGUCGACAACUGAGAAUAUAAGAUUGUUGACAUGCUAUAGGACUGGUGUGCCUAGAUGCUAGAAAAGACAACUUUUGAUAUAAUAUCUAUAUUGGGCAAUGUGUAGCGCAACAUUUCUGAAUUAUUAAUGAUCUUGAGGGUGAGAGCUUAAUAAGACUGCAGAGUAAUAAUAUUGCUCCCUGAAUAAUGACUUGCAAAUUACAAGGGUAUUUAUAAAUAUAAAAAAUAUCCAUAAAGCUAUAGCACUUGCUUGACCUCUGAGAAAUGUGUCUUGUAGGCAUAAUCAAUUGCCUCUAAAGUUGGCGUAUCGGUUAUUAAAUAAAUAUUUAAUUAAGUACUUAUGCUAACAGGUCACACAGGUCUUUUUCCAAGCAGGUAAAUGGAGCAACCUCCUAGGAAAUGAUGCAGCCUAGAAUUGUUGUUACAGAGGAUGUUCUUGAACAGCGUAGACUGGCUAAACAACAUAGUAACGCUGCACCUAGAAUAGUUUCUGAUUUUCAUGGAGACCCGAGCUGUGUAGAGAAAGCUGUAAAAUCCAGAUUCAAAGUCUUAGCUCAUAAUAUUGAAACAGUUGAAGAGCAACAAAGUACGAUCCGAGACCACCAUGCCAAUUUAAGCAAUUUAUUGAUGUCCUAAUGAAAGCCAAAGAAAUGCUCAUGCUGGGACUCUGACUAAAACAUCAGCGAUGCUGGGAUGUGGCGAAACACCAGAACAAGUAGUGAGAACCAUGGAGAAGGUGGGGGAAGCAAACAUUGAUGUGAUUACGUUUGAAAACUUGAAAUUGUAAUGGAGGUAGGUGAAUAAAGGCCGUCUGGCUACAGGUUGUUGCCUCUCUGAACACAUACAUGUGUAUUAUUUAAGAAUGUGUAUUCACUCUUCUACUGUUAUUUUAUUUCCCUUUUUUUACUUUUCAGAGAUCAUGUUUUGUUAGUAAUUCUUCUAUCCAUUGUUCAAAGCAAAUAUGCAUCCUUUUGCUUGCUAUCAUAUCCUGUUUCCUGAUUGAUUUAUCAUACAUGUUUAUUGGUGUUUAAUCUCUCAGACACACAUUUUGAACUUCUUUUCUUUUCUUUGAGCAAAUUUACAAGUACAUGUUUGAUUCUUCUUGCAUUUUCGGAUGUCCGGAAGUCAUCACCGAACAAGAACAUCGCUUCCCUCUGGCCAGCUAUGCCGUCUUAGAGAAACUGAGGUGUAUGGUUCAAGUUUGAAGUUUCAGAAUAACCUGAAUACUUGUUUAAUGUUCAGGUCCAGGCACUCUUAUAAAGAAUACUACAUCAACUGGUUCUGUGUUGCAGGAUAGCCAAGUGCUUGAGCAGCACAGAGAUGGGUGGCAAUUUGAAUCAAAUGUUCUAACAGUACCACCUUUAUCCUACGGAGAAGCAUUUAAGGAUGCAUAUAAAGUAAUUUUGAUCUUGGAUGACCGUGAGAAAUUUACCAUGCAAAGGUUAGAAGGCUUCCCGUUGGAGAUGCCAUCUGGGUUUUGCGCCAUAAACAUUUCCGUUCUGAGUAUGUUCUUGAUUUCACAGUUGAGCAGAAAAAAGUUGAUAGACUUACGAAGGUCAAUCAGGGAUAAUCGCUGUAGAGAUUAAAAAGUGCGGCUUUUGAUAUGAUUCUAUUUAGGUUCUGUACAUGGUUCCGUAUCUAAAUGUUACUAAUUUAGCAAUGAAAAUGAGAAAAUGUUUUGUAUUGCAGGACUCAACCUCUUAACUUGGUUAUAUCCUUCUUAUUCAUAUUCAGCUAAUACAUGUUCUUCCU